AUUAAUUAAUUAAUUAAUUAAAAUUAAUUAGCCUGUGAGGCUUGCUUGCAGAGAGGUUUUUUUGGCGGCUCGGUGCAUAGCGGAAUUCGAUCAUUUGAACCCUACGCAAAUUAAGUAGAGUCAAAAAUGCAAAGCACGAGAUAAAAUGUUUCGCAUUUGCUAAAUUCUGCAUUCGCACUUUACGUAACCGAAUUGCCACUUGCUUGCAUUUUGGUGCCCACUUUAAUGUCUCUGGAUUCAAAAACAAAAGUAUUUGUCUACUUCUCCAUAUUGGAAGAAAUAUGGCUACCGAGAUAUUUUUAGGGGUGCAUUUUUGAACACUGGGUGCACUAUUAAUAAACCAUUGCAAUCUGCAUCCUGCUUUGUUGUUACUUGUUUCUGUAUGCCAUUUCCUUUUUGGCAGUCUACCCACUCUCCUUUCCACGGCUUCUUUCUCCUCUGGUGUCCUUAUGCAUUGUGAAUUUGACAACCAAAUUAAACCCUGGUGGAUUAGCGAUGUCCUAUUUAAAUAUCAAUAUGCCAGCAAGUUUCCCGUUGCAGCCUCCCGACACAGAUUUUGUACCCUUUUUCCAGAGCCAUCUCUUCUUCACAGCUCUGUUCAAAACCACCGGCUUCAUUUACCCAACCGCUCUCUUUUUUCUCCUCACGACACCUCAGCAUGUCUCCUUGCAGAAAAAAAACCCACAGCUCUUUGGAACAGGAAUUGUGCCACUCUAGGGUUUAAUCCCUGUGCCAAUUGCCACCUACACUCAGUAUUUUGAGAACUGUUAGACGUGUGAGAGUUAAAGCUGACUACUAGAUGAAUUUUUACCUCUGAAAUGAAGUCUCAGUCGAGAGGCACAGGUUGGUUGAAUGCAUUGGCUUCUGGAAGGUAUGGCUUAACAUUUCACCCCUUGUUUUUACAUUGUCUAAAAUAUUUUUUCAAAUCCAUUUGCGCUACAUGGUGGUUUGAUUUCAGAGGGUUUUUAAAAUCCAUUUACGUGCCUUGUUUCAACAGCCAUUUUUUCCCCGAAUGGACUUUUUUCCCUCCAUGGAGGAAAAACAGCAUUCCUGUUAUGUAAAAAAAAAAGAUUAAAAUGCUGACAAGCUUUUAUUUUCUCUAGAGGUGACGGGCAUUUCUGCAGACAACCGGAAGCCCUCUAUUCCAUAGAUCAAUCAGCUCAGCCGCCAGAAAGGAUAUUUCAGCUAGUCGAAAAAGUCAACCCCUCUGUGUUCUGCCUUCAGACCUCCAACUAUAAAGCUGGCCUCUCCUUCCAAGCUCCAGAAAUACCCACUCCGCAGAAUUUCGACAGGCUCCUUCAAGAAUUCGACAGGGGCAGCUUUGCUACUGGACAGGAUCUCGUGAUGGAAGCGGAGCCAGGGACCCCGCGUGAGGCUGGUGCAAACGACACCAGCAGAUACAAAUUUAAGGAUCUCAUUCAAACCACUGACGGCUUUCUGAGGCUGCCGGCUCCACUUUUUUCCCACUGUGCGCAUGAGAAUCCUGCAGGUCAGUCAGAAUAGCUUCUUCCUUCUGGAGCUACUCCUGGGUUGUUGUCUGGGGACAGGCACUCGGAAUAAAAUGUCCCGUUGUGCUCUGUUUUUCUCGACUACGGGAUCUCCCAUAGGCCCCAUCUUACCCUCCCGAAAGAAUCCCAACAAGACGGCUCUGCCGAAGGGGUUUUGUCUGGCUUCACAAUUUUGUGUGUGUGUGUGUGAAGGAUUUGUGUGUCUUAAGAGUUGCCGUAGGAACUUUGAAAGGAAGGCCCAAAUUUAGUGGAUGUGGAUGAAAUACAAACAUGAGGUUAUACAAACC